rnacentral:misc_RNA from 1 species
GUGUGGGCGGCCGCGGACCAAUGGCAGGGGGGCUGAGUGGGUGGUGAGUCUGUGUACAGUGACGGGCUGUGGCGGACUGGGCGCUGAUCAAGCCUUUUGCACGGCAGGGAAUAUGUGUGUUCACGUCUCCAGCAGGCGGAGAUGGUUCCUGGCAGCAUGGAGAUAGUUCACGAAGGAAUGCUGAAGAAGGCGCCGCCCCCGAAGCGCUUAUGGCGGGCGAAAUGGAGGAUGCGAUGGUUUGUUCUGCGGUCCGGGGAGCUUCCAGGCCAGUACUUCCUGGAAUAUUACACAGACCAGACACGACGCAAAUUGAAAGGCAAGAUAGACCUGGACCAGUGUGAUCAGGUUGAUGCAGGCAUAGCAUUUUCCAAUCCCAAGUUGGAGUAUAAAUACAUGUUUGACAUCAAGACUCCCAAGCGAGUGUAUUUCCUAUGUGCUGAGACUGAGCAGGAGAUGAACCGAUGGGUGGACUGUGUAUGUCAUGUAUGUGGGCUCAAGAUAUACUCUCAAGAAGAUGAAUAUCCCCCAUUGCCUCUUGAUCACAUUUCUCCAACACCAUCUGCCACCCCUCCCACUCCCCUACACUCCCUACCCCAUGAUCCUGAAUUGGACUCCCCUUCUCUUUCACCCUCUUCACCUGGCUCGUCUAUUUCUGGGCCAUAUAUUCCCAUCAGCACCUGCUUCACUGGGAAGAGAACUCCCAAUACUAGUUCUAGUUUUCCUUUUGGUGAUGACAUACCACCAAUUCGAGGUUCAGAAAACCAUCGAUCGAGUAUUCCCAAUGAAAUGGCACCACCAAUACCUGUGAUAUGUCCCGACUCCCAGCCACCACUCAUGCAGGCACCCUCACCUCCUGCUGUCAACACUGGAGCAAUUCCCAGGGAGACCUAUGAUGGCCACAGACAAAUGAGACCUGGCACAUCAGAGGAUACUCUCAGUGUUAAGUCACCUCUGGGGACAGAUGGAAGUAGUGUAUUUAGUGAAGAUGAGUUGCCAUCUCAUUCAAAUAAGAUAGAAACUAAGUUUUUCGGUGAGGGAAGUAGAAUAGUUACUGGGAAUACGUAUGCAAAGGAAGGACACCAGGAAACUCCUGCUGGAGGAGUAGGAGCUCUAGUAAGUGAUCUACAUGGCAUUGGCCUGUCAGAUGAUGACCACCAGAAGGCAGCACCACCCAGACCACCCAAACCUGCACACCUAGCAGAAAUUCCUCACCAGACAUACCAGAACUUGGAAACUGUGUCAAGGACUGCCUUAGUGAGGAGAAAUAGUUCAAAUGAAAAGAUGAAAAAUGGACUUGGAUGCUCUCUUACAGUUAGUGAUGUUAAUAUUGUAGCUUCUGGCCCAGAACCUUCACCAGCCUCUGUGAACAGUUCCUUGCCUCCUUCUUCGCCUAGAGAGAUUAGUGAGGACCCUCACGGAGUGGUAAUUAGGUCGCAGCAAUUCUCAGAAGCAGCAAGUCCCAAGUCAGCCGACAGACCCAAACAGAGGUACUGUUUCAACAAUGCAGUUCUGACACCCAAACAGAGCCAGGUAUUCUCGUAUGACCUGCGACACCAUGAUAAAUCGGGAGACCAUGAGCCAAUAGACCCAAGAAUAUCCCCUGCUGGAGCAUAUUCCAAUAUUAGUCAGACGAACAGAAGUCCUCCAGCUGUUGACCGAGGACUUAAGCCUAGGAAGACUUCAGAGGGGAGCAACUUGGGCUCCUCGGAUCUGUCUCCACCUCCCUCUGGUGGCGGGAUAUCAGAUCUACUGGGAGCUGUUGGAGGUUCACCAGCAUUGCCUUCAUCUGCACCUCCAGUAGUAGACAGGAACCUGAAGCCUGUCAAGAUCCCUCCAGAACCCUUAACCAGAGCGUUUGAGUUGGACCCGCCCCCGACACGAAGCACGAAACACAAGUCCCGGGCAGCACCUUCGCCCACUCCCCCCUUCAUGCAUAAUGGACGAGGCAAUGCAGACAGUGGCGAAGAGAACGACCUUGUGUCCAGCCCUGACAGCCGGCGGAAUUCUUCAAAUGCAGAAGAGCAGGCUGACGGGGUGGAGAGAGGAGACCGAAGCAAGGUGAGGACUUCAGAAUACUGGCUAGACCAUUACUUCUUUCGACACCACGCCCGUACCACCUUCUCUCCAGUCGUCGCGCCACCACCGACUCCUUGUGUCUACGCAGCUUCGUGUCCGUCUGUGCCUUGUCGUCGGGUGUGUUUCGUGCAGAGGAGCAGUGGGGAGCUUGAUCUACAUGACGGUGAUUUUUCGUGCGAUGGAGUGACGUGCCGCUGAUAUAUGGAGACCAGCGGACCACAGUGGAGCACGGCACGGCACGGCACGGCACGGGUCAGGAGCACAGGGCGGAAAGGAGUUGACCAUCCAGAGUUCUCGUUCAACAGCUAAUAAGCCGCCUCUACCAUAAAGGAGACUACCUCGCACUACGGUUUCACUAACAAUGUCCACUGCAGACGCUUAUGCUUCCGCCACCGUCGCAAAAUCGGGAAGGACACUGCGUUGCAUCGCGCGCACACUGUACACUCUUCCGCUACCGCUCAGGGAUACUGGCUGAGUGGAUGACAGUGAGGCAAAGGUGUUCUGGAGGUCGCUGACGACGAGAACCAGCAGAUGACGGCGGGCACUAGAGAUUAAACUAACCAGGAGUUGACGACCGAAAGGCCUGACUGCAGCGAUCCAGUGCCUCCUGCACCAUCAAGGAGGGUAUCUGGCUUCGCACGGCGCCUUCACUAACCUCCCCCUCCAACACAAACCCCGCCGACUGAAGAGCCGCUACUGCCACUAGGUGGGGGCACUGCCUCGCUUGGUAUCUUCACUGCCGCCGCCUAGCGAGGGAUUCAGCCUCGCAUCGCACAUCCUGCCCACUCAACACUUGCUGCCGCAGCCACCAUCGCCGCCGCCACCACCACCACCACCGCAUCAGCAAGGAGGAUUCUGCACGGCACCUUGACCCUGCGCGGCUAACGCUUAAUGUUAAUCCUGGUGUUGGUGGCCAGGGAGGAAAUAAAAUUGCGGGUUGGCAUUUUAGUCUUCCCUCUGUUAUGUUGAUGUAUGUGCUUGGAUAGCUGUGGUGUUGUGGUGCCAUUACUCUAUUGUAAUAGUGUCUUCAUUGUCUCAUUGUGGUAUUGUUACUGUACUUAGAGAUGUUGUCGCUACUGAAUAAUAAGCUAUGAAGGAUU